UACGUAGGGGGCGAGCGUUGUCCGGAUUUAUUGGGCGUAAAGAGCGUGUAGGCGGCCAGGUAGGUCUGCUGUGAAAACUCGAGGCUCAACCUCGAGACGUCGGCGGAAACCAUCUGGCUAGAGUCCGGAAGAGGGUGGUGGAAUUCCCAGUGUAGCGGUGAAAUGCGUAGAUAUUGGGAGGAACACCGGUGGCGAAGGCGGCCACCUGGGCCGGAACUGACGCUGAGGCGCGAAAGCCAGGGGAGCAAACGGG
rnacentral:rRNA from 1 species